rnacentral:rRNA from 1 species
AGUGAACGCUGGCGGUAGGCCUAACACAUGCAAGUCGAACGGCAGCACAGUAAGAGCUUGCUCUUACGGGUGGCGAGUGGCGGACGGGUGAGGAAUACAUCGGAAUCUACUUUUUCGUGGGGGAUAACGUAGGGAAACUUACGCUAAUACCGCAUACGACCUACGGGUGAAAGCAGGGGAUCUUCGGACCUUGCGCGAUUGAAUGAGCCGAUGUCGGAUUAGCUAGUUGGCGGGGUAAAGGCCACCAAGGCGACGAUCCGUAGCUGGUCUGAGAGGAUGAUCAGCCACACUGGAACUGAGACACGGCCCAGACUCCUACGGGAGGCAGCAGUGGGGAAUAUUGGACAAUGGGCGCAAGCCUGAUCCAGCCAUACCGCGUGGGUGAAGAAGGCCUUCGGGUUGUAAAGCCCUUUUGUUGGGAAAGAAAAGCAGCAGGUUAAUACCCCGCUGUUCUGACGGUACCCAAAGAAUAAGCACCGGCUAACUUCGUG